rnacentral:rRNA from 1 species
AGGACUAACGCUGGCGGCGUGCCUAACACAUGCAAGUCGAACGGGGUAGCAAUACCCAGUGGCAGACGGGUGAGUAACACGUGGUCAACCUACCUCUGUGUGGGGGAUAACUAGCCGAAAGGUUAGCUAAUACCGCAUACGAUCGUUUUGAGGCAUCUCGAGACGAUGAAAGGAGCAAUCCGCACGGAGAGGGGACUGCGUCCCAUUAGUUAGUUGGUGGGGUAACGGCCUACCAAGACUCCGAUGGGUAGCUGGCUUGAGAGAGCGACCAGCCACACUGGAACUGAGAAACGGUCCAGACUCCUACGGGAGGCAGCAGUGAGGAAUUUUCCGCAAUGGGCGAAAGCCUGACGGAGCGACGCCGCGUGUGGGAUGAAGGCCUUCGGGUCGUAAACCACUGUCGAAGGGGACGAUAAUGACGGUACCCUUGGAGGAGCCCCGGCUAACUACGUGCCAGCAGCCGC